GACAGAGGUCCCAAGCGUUAGGCGGAAUCACUGGGCUUAAAGCGUGUGUAGGCGGAUGCCUAAGUACCUUGUGAAAUCCCACGGCUCACCCGUGGAACUGCUUGGUAUACUGGGUGUCUUGAGCCACUUAGGGGCUACCGGAACAAAUGGUGGAGCGGUGAAAUGCGUAGAUAUCGUUUGGAACGCCAACGGUGAAAACAGGUAGCUGGGAGUGUGCUGACGCUGAGACACGAAAGCCAGGGGAGCAAACGGG
rnacentral:rRNA from 1 species